rnacentral:rRNA from 1 species
GACGAACGCUGGCGGCGUGCCUAAUACAUGCAAGUCGAGCGAAGUUUUUCUGGUGCUUGCACCGGAAAAACUUAGCGGCGAACGGGUGAGUAACACAUAAAGAACCUGCCUCAUAGACUGGGACAACUAUUGGAAACGAUAGCUAAUACCGGAUAACAGCAUUAACUGCAUGGUUGAUGUUUAAAAGUUGGUUUUGCUAACACUAUGAGAUGGCUUUGCGGUGCAUUAGCUAGUUGGUGGGGUAAAGGCCUACCAAGGCGACGAUGCAUAGCCGACCCGAGAGGGUGAUCGGCCACACUGGGACUGAGACACGGCCCAGACUCCUACGGGAGGCAGCAGUAGGGAAUCUUCCGCAAUGGGCGAAAGCCUGACGGAGCAACGCCGCGUGAGUGAAGAAGGAUUUCGGUUCGUAAAGCUCUGUUGUUAGGGAAGAAUGAUUGUGUAGUAACUAUACACAGUAGAGACGGUACCUAACCAGAAAGCCACGGCUAACUACGUG